AUCCCACGGCCUUUGAUAUAUACGUCGUGGUGCACUGACUGGAACGAGAAAUAGCCCAAUGGGCCCACCGGUGGGGAUUGAUCCCACAUUGAGCGAACGCUGUACCACUGGGCUACAUCCUGCCCCCGCCCCACAAAUGAUAACUACAGCGAGGUAUUAUUACUGAAUGCUAGGUUUCGACACAAAUGAUAACUACAGCGAGGUAUUAUUACUGAAUGCUAGGUUUCGACACAAAUGAUAACUACAGCGAGGUAUUAUUACUGAAUGCUAGGUUUCGACACAAAUGAUAACUACAGCGAGGUAUUAUUACUGAAUGCUAGGUUUCGACACAAAUGAUAACUACAGCGAGGUAUUAUUACAGAAUGCUAGGUUUCGACACAAAUGAUAACUACAGCGAGGUAUUAUGACUGAAUGCUAGGUUUCGACACAAAUGAUAACUACAGCGAGGUAUUAUGACUGAAUGCUAGGUUUCGACACAAAUGAUAACUACAGCGAGGCAUUAUUACUGAAUGCUAGGUUUCGACACAAAUGAUAACUACAGCGAGGUAUUAUUACUGAAUGCUAGGUUUCGACACAAAUGAUAACUACAGCGAGGUAUUAUUACUGAAUGCUAGGUUUCGACACAAAUGAUAACUACAGCGAGGUAUUAUUACUGAAUGCUAGGUUUCGACACAAAUGAUAACUACAGCGAGGCAUUAUUACUGAAUGCUAGGUUUCGACACAAAUGAUAACUACAGCGAGGUAUUAUUACUGAAUGCUAGGUUUCGACACAAAAUGAUAACUACAGCGAGGUAUUAUUACUGAAUGCUAGGUUUCGACACAAAUGAUAACUACAGCGAGGUAUUAUUACUGAAUGCUAGGUUUCGACACAAAAUGAUAACUACAGCGAGGUAUUAUUACUGAAUGCUAGGUUUCGACACAAAUGAUAACUACAGCGAGGUAUUAUUACUGAAUGCUAGGUUUCGACACAAAUGAUAACUACAGCGAGGUAUUAUUACAGAAUGCUAGGUUUCGACACAAAUGAUAACUACAGCGAGGUAUUAUUACUGAAUGCUAGGUUUCGACACAAAUGAUAACUACAGCGAGGUAUUAUUACUGAAUGCUAGGUUUUGACACAAAACAUAUAAAGUACUUUAAGGAAAACUUCAUUCAGAACAAAGAAUGUUCAGUUAUGUAGUGGGACAGGGAGUCCAACAUUGGUGGAAUUCAGAAUUGAACCUUCCAUCACGUAGCAGUAUACUAACGUCAUCAGAGCACUGGUUGGAAUGAGAAAAUUAAUCUUCUGAAUAGAUUCACAGAGGUGGUUAAAUCCUGCAAUGCAAUAGAGUAGCAAUAGAGUAAGCGAGCACUUAACUGACGGCUAAAUCCCACCCAAAAACCUUGAUAUAGCCAGAAGAUGGGAGGGAAAACACAAUAAAUUGUGUAAAAUUGGCUUUCCGUUCAAUGCCAUAAUUGCUGGAAUCCAUUAGAAAGUUUUUUGGUAGUCAUGGACUUUGUUCAAUGAAAAUGGGAAACAGACUUUUGGUUCCAUGAUCUUGCCUAUAUGCUGCAGGAAAUGAUAAAGUUUUCAUUAAAACUUAUUUCACAGUCCUCCGUACAUUUGAAACCAGUGAUUGUUUUUAGAACAUCACUCGAUAACACAUUAAUGCACAUGCUUCCAUAUAUUAUUGUGAUUUCACAUAUCGGUAAAAGGAAAAGUGGCCAUAUAUUAAACAGAUUCAAGAAUUCUAUGGUUUCAUUCACACAGUACUAAACUUGUUUAGCGAUAUGUCUUUCAGUGGAUCAAGUGGAAAAAAUAUUUAAAAGUUUUAUAGUGGAUGAAUAUAUCCAACACCAUAGCACUGAUUCUAGUGCCGUUAGUAUAAUCUUUCAACAAAAGGUCAUUUUCAUUGCAAAAUUAUCAUUUUAUAUUGAUUUUCCUCUUUUUUUUUGUAAGAGUGAACUUUUAUAUGAAAUGGUAGCAGUUUUAAUAUUCUGUGUUUGACCAAGAUAAAAAGUGUCACUCUUUAUAACUCCAAAAUAUUAUUUCACACAGGAAAUAAAUUUGAUCUGAAAUGGUUGCUCAUUUAAUCUAUCAUGAAAGACAAAUUAUUUCAACUAAAAAUUAAUCCAAGAAUGAAAAAAAAAAAAAAAAACACAAAUUCAUUUAUUAGAAUUUAUUUGAUGAACAUGAUUGAUUUGAAAGAUGAUGUGGGGGACAAAAUGUUUGCAUGCUGUGGUCUUUCUUUUACAUCAUCUUUCGUCCAGUGGGCAUGCAGCCAUUUGUGAACGAAGAUUCAUAGAGAAAGAGAACAGCAACCACUGCAGACACUUCAUCCUGUUCAUUCAGCACCAG
rnacentral:lncRNA from 1 species